rnacentral:rRNA from 1 species
UUUUAAAGGGCCGCGGUAAUCUGACCGUGCGAAGGUAGCAUAAUCAUUAGUCUUUUAAUUGAAGACUUGUAUGAAAGGUUGAAUGAGGGAUAAGCUGUCUYUUCUUUAUUAUCAGAAUUUAACUUUUAAGUGAAAAGGCUUAAAUUUUUUGGGGUGACGAUAAGACCCUAUAAAACUUUAUAUGAAGAAAUUAGUUUUAGAAUUCUAAGUCAAAAUUAACGACCUUUUUUCAUAUUUCGUUGGGGAGACGAAGAUAUAAAAUUCGAUAGCUGUCUGUAAAAYUUAAUAGUCUUUACUAGAUUUUGAUCCUUUAUUAUGGAUUAUAAGAUUAAGUUACUUUAGGGAUAACAGCGUAAUUUUCUUUGAGAGUUCUUAUCGACAAGAAUAGUUGCGACCUCGAUGUUGAAUUAAAAUUUCAGAUUGGUGUAGUCGCUUUUCUAGU